CCUACGGGUGGCAGCAGUGGGGAAUAUUGGGUAAUGGGCGCAAGCCUGACCCAGCAACGCCGCGUGAAGGAAGAAGGCUUUCGGGUUGUAAACUUCUUUUCUCAGGGACGAAGCAAGUGACGGUACCUUAGGAGUACGCCACGGCUAACUACGUGCCAGCAGCCGCGGGAAUACGUAGGUGGCCCGCGUUAUCCGGAUUUACUGGGUGUAAAGGGCGUGUAGGCGGGGACGCAAGUCAGAUGUGAAAACCACGGGCUCAACCUGUGACCUGCAUUUGAAACUGUGUUUCUUGAGUACUGGAGAGGCAGACGGAAUUCCUAGUGUAGCGGUGAAAUGCGUAGAUAUAAGGAGGAACACCAGUGGCGAAGGCGGUCUGCUGGACAGCAACUGACGCUGAGGCGCGAAAGCGUGGGGAGCAAACAGGAUUAGAUACCCGUGUAGUC
rnacentral:rRNA from 1 species